CCUACGGGAGGCAGCAGUGAGGAAUAUUGGUCAAUGGUCGGGAGACUGAACCAGCCAAGCCGCGUGAGGGAUGAAGGUACAGAGUAUCGUAAACCUCUUUUGUCAGGGAACAAAGGCGGGGACGUGUCCCCGGAUGAGUGUACCUGAAGAAAAAGCAUCGGCUAACUCCGUGCCAGCAGCCGCGGUAAUACGGAGGAUGCGAGCGUUAUCCGGUUUUAUUGGGUUUAAAGGGUGCGCAGGCGGUCUGUUAAGUCAGCGGUAAAAGCCCGGGGCUCAACCCCGGCCCGCCGUUGAAACUGGCAGUCUCGAGUUGGAGAGAAGUAUGCGGAAUGCGCGGUGUAGCGGUGAAAUGCUGAGAUAUCAGGAGGAACAUCGGUGGCGUAAGCGCUUUACUGGGCCGUAAUUGACGCUGAGGAACGAAAGCCAGGGUAGCAAAUGGGAUUAGAUACCCCAGUAGUC
rnacentral:rRNA from 1 species